AGCAUUCAAGAGCAGCAAAGUCUGAUCUCCCAGUUCCAGAAUCACUGUUGACAGCCCAGUCCCAGUGGAGCUUGAUCUCCACUGCAUCGUGCCACCGCCAUUGCUAAUUCAAGUAAUCUUCAUGCUAUUCCAACUCAGGGAGAAUCUUCACAUCUAUUGCCAUCAGGGAAGGCAUACCGGAGCUGGGAGUCUGUGUGACUUUUCUUAAAUUAAGUGAGUGUGAAAAGAAGAGGGUUAAGGUCCAGUUUGAAUCAAACACUUCCUAUGUGAGAGUCCUGUGGAUUUCAUGAUGGUGAGUGUGAGGCACAGCUUAAACAGAGAUGUAAAAGGCUGCAGGGAAAAGGGAAAAAUCGAGAACAAAAUGGAUUUCAAGGAG